rnacentral:ncRNA from 1 species
AGGAGCCGGAUGAGGUGAAAGUCUCACGUCCGGUUUUGGAGACCAGCGGGACUGGUGACAGUCUCGCUGAGUUUAAU